CUGCGAACCCUCCUCCUCAGACCGCAGAAAUGCAUCAAGGAACAGCUCCCCCAAUAUCUCAGAGCAUGGGGCCAGCUGAAUCAAGGACGACUCUCUCUCAAACUGAUAUUCUGUAACGACUAGAGAUACCUGGUUACGUAAAUCGUUGUCUUUACUUGUGAGCUCAGUUUGAGGUAAGUCUUUAAUUGAUGUAGAAGUACUCUUAACUGAAGUCAAGUCUUCUUUUAAUACUUGCUGAGGUUUAGGUGGAGUGACAGACAUGGCAACUGAUGAGUCAUAGAAGGAGCCUCCUUCAUCAUGGGAACAAGUACCAGAUGUGUGAAUGCUACCUUCUUGUUCAGUUUCAC